rnacentral:misc_RNA from 1 species
GAUGAAGAACGUAGCGAAAUGCGAUAAGUAAUGUGAAUUGCAGAAUUCAGUGAAUCAUCGAAUCUUUGAACGCACAUUGCGCCCGCUAGUAUUCUGGCGGGCAUGCCUGUCCGAGCGUCAUUUCAACCCUCAAGCCCCCGGGCUUGGUGUUGGGGAUCGGCGAGCCUCCGCGCCCGCCGUCCCCUAAAUCUAGUGGCGGUCUCGCUGUAGCUUCCUCUGCGUAGUAGCACACCUCGCACUGGGAAACAGCGCGGCCAUGCCGUUAAACCCCCAACUUCUGAACGUUUGACCUCGGAUCAGGUAGGAAUACCCGCUGAACUUAAGCAUAUCAAUAAGCGGAGGA